rnacentral:misc_RNA from 1 species
UUGAUUGUUUGCGUGUUUCUCAGUCGACUGCUACAUUGCAAGGGUUGGGUGUCCCCGCUGGCAGGCGGACCUGCCGAGGAAACGGGCGGUACUCGUGGGCAAGGGUGCUAUCUCGAUGGGGCCGGAGCCCCACGGUAAUGAUCCUUCCGCAGGUUCACCUACGGAAA